AUUGAACGCUGGCGGCAGGCCUAACACAUGCAAGUCGAGCGGAUGAAGGGAGCUUGCUCCUGGAUUCAGCGGUGGACGGGUGAGUAAUGCCUAGGAAUCUGCCUGGUAGUGGGGGAUAACGUCCGGAAACGGGCGCUAAUACCGCAUACGUCCUGAGGGAGAAAGUGGGGGAUCUUCGGACCUCACGCUAUCAGAUGAGCCUAGGUCGGAUUAGCUAGUUGGUGGGGUAAAGGCCUACCAAGGCGACGAUCCGUAACUGGUCUGAGAGGAUGAUCAGUCACACUGGAACUGAGACACGGUCCAGACUCCUACGGGAGGCUGCAGUGGGGAAUAUUGGACAAUGGGCGAAAGCCUGAUCCAGCCAUGCCGCGUGUGUGAAGAAGGUCUUCGGAUUGUAAAGCACUUUAAGUUGGGAGGAAGGGCAGUAAGUUAAUACCUUGCUGUUUUGACGUUACCAACAGAAUAAGCACCGGCUAACUUCGUG
rnacentral:rRNA from 1 species